AAGUCGUAACAAGGUUUCCGUAGGUGAACCUGCGGAAGGAUCAUUAACACUAAUGAAAUCCAAAACCUUUUGGAUCAACCCAACCUUUAGCGAACCGUUCGUCCCUUUUUUCCUUUUGCCUCAUAUCAUUUUAUCAAACGCAAACUCUGAUGUAAAGUGUCUGAUUCUUUAUUCCCGCUGCUACUCGUAGCAGGAAUCAAAAAUCUAACGCAAUACAACUCUUAACAACGGAUAUCUUGGCUCUC
rnacentral:misc_RNA from 1 species